GGGGAGGUGGCGGAGCUGGUUGAACGCACCGGUCUUGAAAACCGGCGUAGGUGAUGAGCCUACCGUGGGUUCGAAUCCCACCCUCCCCGCCA
rnacentral:tRNA from 1 species